rnacentral:rRNA from 1 species
AUUGAACGCUGGCGGCAGGCCUAACACAUGCAAGUCGAACGAGUGGCGGACGGGUGAGGAAUGUCUGGGAAACUGCCUCAUGGUGGGGGGUAACUACUGGAAACGGUCGCUAAUACCGCAUACCAUCGGAUGUCCCCAGAUGGGAUUAGCUAGUAGGUGGGGUAAUGGCUCACCUAGGAGACGAUCCCUAGCUGGUCUGAGAGGAUGACGAGCGACACGGGAACUGAGACACGGGGCAGACUCCUACGGGAGGGAGUAGUGGGGAAUAUGGCACAAUGGGCGAAAGCCAGAUGCAGCGAUGCCGCGUGGAUGAAGAAGGCCAAAGGGUUGUAAAGUACUUUCAGCGGGGCGGCGUUAGACGUAGAAGAAGAACCGGCUAACUCCGUGCUAGCAGCCGCGGUAAUAC